UGACAACACUGGAAUGUUCGUUGUAAAAAAUUCAAGUUUUAUCACUUCAAAAUUCUAGUUCUUUCCUUGGAGACCUUGGAGACGCUUUGUGUCACAGAAAUUCAUGAAUUUUGUAAAAAUAGAAUAGUGUUAUUAGCGCAGUGCAAAUAAUAGCGCAGUACAUUUGAAAUAAUAUUAACAAACAGACAUUCGUCGUCAAAAUGUCUGACCCGUCUGAUGAUGACUUAGUGCCAAAUAAUUUUCAACUUGGAACUACUGGUUUCACUACACAAUUAUUGAAGCCAUAUCCUCAAAGUGCUAUGAGUUUCUGAGGAUCUGUAAAUAAUGCAAAAUGUAGAUCAGCCAUGUCAGUUCCAAGUAUUUGCUCCAACACAACUGUGAGUGCUGUAGAUAUAGCAUUAGCUUUAAAAAAUUAUAAAUUUAAUAAAAAUGAUGCACGAAUGAUAAAUGAA